AACAGGAUUAGAUACCCUGGUAGUCCACGCCGUAAACGGUGGGCGCUAGGUGUGGGGACUGGUUCCACGGUUUCCGUGCCGUAGCUAACGCAUUAAGCGCCCCGCCUGGGGAGUACGGCCGCAAGGCUAAAACUCAAAGGAAUUGACGGGGGUCCGCACAAGCGGCGGAGCAUGUGGAUUAAUUCGAUGCAACGCGAAGAACCUUACCUGGGUUUGACAUGCACUGGAUCGCCCUAGAGAUAGGGUCUCCCUUGUGGCUGGUGCACAGGUGGUGCAUGGCUGUCGUCAGCUCGUGUCGUGAGAUGUUGGGUUAAGUCCCGCAACGAGCGCAACCCUUGCCCCAUGUUGCCAGCGGUUCGGCCGGGGACUCGUGGGGGACUGCCGGGGUCAACUCGGAGGAGGGUGGGGAUGACGUCAAGUCAUCAUGCCCCUUAUGCCCAGGGCUUCACACAUGCUACAAUGGCCGGUACAGAGGGUGGCGAGACCGUGAGGUGGAGCGAAUCCCAGAAAGCCGGUCUCAGUUCGGAUCGGGGUCUGCAACUCGACCCCGUGAAGUCGGAGUCGCUAGUAAUCGCAGAUCAGCAAUGCUGCGGUGAAUACGUUCCCGGGCCUUGUACACACCGCCCGUCACGUCAUGAAAGUCGGUAACACCCGAAGCCCAUGGCCCAACCCCCGUGUGGGGGAGGGAGUGGUCGAAGGUGGGACUGGCGAUUGGGACGAAGUCGUAACAAGGUAACC
rnacentral:rRNA from 1 species